rnacentral:miRNA from 1 species
AACCCUGUAGAUCCGAGUUAGA